rnacentral:lncRNA from 10 species
UUGAAAUGGAAAAUUUGCUGGAGAAAGUUGAUUAAGUAACAUUUCACGGAAGAGGAGAAUUGUAAUAACCAUUUGAUAGAAGAGAGAUGUCCUUGAACUCAAUCUAUCCUGAAGAUGCUCCUGAGAGGGCAAACAAAUAACAUCUCUCUGGAAGGAUGCCUGCCUUUGUCAAAGCUUUCAAAUCUGUAUGACUUCUAUCUUUCCUUGGCUUCCCUUACUCAAUUAGUCAAGGAUCCUUGUGGAUGUUUAACAUAAAAUGUCACUCACAUCUGCCCUCCUCCUCAACUUUCCAUUCCAUCCUCUCCACAGAUGCCUGAUGCAUUUUCUUCUGACUCAGUCUUCUGUUUUUCAUGGAGAACACAGAGCAAGACAGAAGCUCCCAACUGUGGCAUCCAAGAGCAACUUGAGCUGCUCCCUUACUUAUCUCUGGUCUGGCUCAAACUCUUUGUGAUGACUGUUCUACCAUAUGGCUUAAUAGCUAAGUACACAUGCAUUGACCUCAAGCCUUCCCACAGCUCAGGUUCCUGAGGCACAGACUCUGGAUGGAAAUUAGCACAUAAUAGGUUUAUUAGAAAGUGCUCUUGGAAUUAACAUCUUUGGAGGAAGAAAAGAAGCAAUAUUGUCCAGAGAGGGAAGUUGAACUGCAAUGAAGUUGCCACAGAGGCUUCAAUGAAUCCUUCUGGGUGUAGAGCUGGGAUGACCUUUCCAGAGUUUUCCAAUUAAGGGAAUUGUAUCUCACCUCAAUCUCUAGUCUGAACCUUGGGUGAGGCAGCUUCUUUCAGCCAAUGGCAAUUCCUGGAGGCACCAGGAGUUAUGAGCAGUCAACACUCUUUCUUUGCUCCUGAGAAAAUUGAGUGCCCUCUUUGGUCCUGAAAGCAGCUCUGGGCAGCACUCCACAGCAUCCACUACAGACUUAGUGAGUUCACCCUGGCUCUCCCACUUACAGAUUGCAGGUUGCGGCAUGGGAUUGCAUCAGCCUAUGGGGAAGAAAAAGAAGAAAAUAGACAAUCUGCACAGAAUAUGUAAAAGGAGAACCAAAGCCCAAAGAGAAAAAUGCUGAGAAGUCGCCAGCAAAGAAAGCACAGUAAACAACAGCAGGGGCCGGGCGCAGUGGCUCACGCCUGUAAUCCCAACUACUCAGGAGGCUGAGGCGGGGGAAUCGCUUGAACCCAUUAGGCGGAGAUGGCAGUGAGCCAAGAUAGCACCACUGCACACCACCUCAUGACAGAGCUAGACCCCGUCUCAAAAAACAAAAACAAACAAACAAAAAAACAGCAGGAGGCAGAGGAGUUUUCCAUAAUCGUACACCUUCUACUGAUGUGCUCUCCAUUAGCCAGCCUUGACUUCACCAACAUCACUGCUUCUCCUCCUCAGGGCUGGGUGGAAUGGGGUUAUGGUGGAGAGCUGCAGAAAAGCUUUAGCCACCCCCAGCUGUUAGAGGGUGCAGCACAACUCGCUUUAAUUGCUCAUGUAUUCUACUGGCCCAAGCAGUCUGCAAGGCUGAGAGUGAGUUGAAGAACACUGACUAGGCAAAUGAAGACAAGAAGAAUUUGAAAUGGCGAGGCAAUUGAGGUCCUGAAGAAAUGAAGCACAUGAAGAUGGGGGAGCAGCUCAGAACAUCAGGAGGCAGUAAUGGGAUACUGGGUGCUUGGAGGGGAACGAGAGGUAGUGGCAGUGGAUUUCAUCUGAUCAGCAAUUUUAUUUGACUUAGUGUGACAAAUGGACCAAACAAAGAAACUAUUCUGUUGUUGAUGAUCCCUAUAAUCAUUCCCUAGGAAUAGUGUGAUAUAGUUUGGCUGUGUCCCCACUGAAAUCUCAUCUUGAACUGUAGCUCCCACAAUUCCCACAUGGGAGGUAAUUGAAUAAUGGGGUCAGUUUUCCCCAUACUAUUCUCUUAGUAGUAAAUACGUCUCUUGAGAUCUGAUGGUUUUAUAAGGGGAAACCCCUUUCACUUGGUUCUCAUUCUCUCUUUGCCUGCCACCAUGUAAGAUGUGCCUUUCAUCUUCCACCAUGAUUUUGAGACCUCCCCAGCCACGUGAAACUGAGUCCAUUAAACCUCUUUCCUUUAUAAAUUACCCAGUCUUGGGUAUGUCUUUAUCAGCAACAUUGAAAAUGGACUAAUACAUAGGAAAAUUGAUUUUUAAACUAAAAACUGUUCUUUCAAGACGAGAAUAUUUAUCCUAUACUUCCUGCUGUCUGUAUCUAAAGGUUUGCUUACACAUGUCAUGUUUUGCCCCAAAUGUCCUUACUUCUCUAACCCAGACCAACUUGAACUUUUUCUGUAUAUUUCCUUGUUCAACUGAGGAAACAUACCUCUUGUUGGCUUCUUUCUUACAUGAAAACUGAGCUCCAGUUUCUGACAUCUGGGUUGGCGAUACUUCCGGUUUCUCACUCAUGCACAUCUCUCUGAUCCAGUUUUCUUGGCACUUUUUCUUUCUGACUAGGAAAAAUUUCCUAAGCUGUUCUUGCAGUUACCAUGCCUUCCUAGGUGAUGUACCCUUCGUGAAUGAUUUUCUUUCUACAUGAUAGUAAGCCUUCAGUCUAGACCUGGUUGUUCUACAUUCUGAUCUAAGAUUCAAUAGAAUUCCCUUCUCUUUGUGCCCACCAUUAUCCUACACACCAGAAGAAUUGUCAAUUUCUUUUCAUUAAUACUGGCCAGUUGUGGAUUUUUUCUUUUGUCUGAUAGAGUCAUCAUUCAGAUCAUAACUGAUAUCUCACACAUUUUCUUUGAUACUUGAUAUAGAAAUAAAUUAUCAUAUACACACGCUCACAAAUGGAACCACCCUUACCUUGGGGCACAAUAUCUAUAUAAAUAAGCCACAUUAAUAAACCUCAAUCAAAAUUAUAUACAGUAUCUAUAUCAAUAAGCCAGAAACCUCAACCAAAAUUAUAAAAUUACACUUGUACUACUAGUGCUAAUGUCAUCAUUUGCCAACACAAAAAGUACUUUUGUUGCAAUUAUUUUCUUCUUUCCACCAUUCUAAGUUUGAAUACCUGGGAUUGACUAAAAUUGCAAAACUAGUUCUAUGUUUAAUGUUUUUAUUCAUGAAUAAGUGUCUUGUUUUCUAUCCUUAUUAACUUUUUUUCUUGCUAAUAAUGAAUUUA